CCAGAAUCAUCUAAGAAACAUAUAAUUGAUGAGAACCAACUUACUCUUAUUGAGAAGGUUGAAAAGAAGAGAUGUGAAAUACUCAAUAAGUGGGAUGAGAUACAAGCUCUGGAAAAAGAAAUUAAAACAACUUUGGUUCAUACUGGAGUUUCAGGUAUCACUGAAAAUAGGAUUAAAAGCAUAGAGCAAGAAGUUAUAAAAUUUGAAACAGAAAAUACGAUUUUGAAGAAGAAAAUAAAAGUAAGUUUUUUUGUGAAUCAAUGUUUAUCAAUAAAAAUAUUUCCUCUAGUGCCUGCUUGUCCUAUGUAAUAAGCAUGACCCAAUGAUGAUAAUUCUUUGUAGGUUAUUGAAAGCAAUAUGAAGCAGACCAUGGGAAGAAUCAGUGAAGAGGGGCAGGAGGGCCUUUGGAAAUUUAUCAAGGAAUUUGUAAAAUUCGAAGAAAUAGAAGAUAACUCUCAAGCGACUGAAUAAAUGGCCAAUGAAAAUUCUUAACUUCCAUGUAUUUAGCAUGGUUGUUUGCAGAUGUAUAUACAUUCAUAAAGAUACAUUUCAUCCACUUUAAUCUCUAGUAAAAUUAAUGUUGUAUAUGUAUCCUACUCAGAAUACUGAAACAAACACAUGUAUACAUAUGAUUAGUUUCUACUGUUGCAUAUAUGUUUAUGGCAAUACUAGUUCUUAACAUGUUUUACUUUCAUUUAAUAAUGUUCCACUGUGGAAAAUAUUUUUGAUUAUUUGCUAAUAAAGAAUUCAGCAUGGCUU